rnacentral:rRNA from 1 species
GAUGAACGCUAGCGGCAGGCUUAAUACAUGCAAGUCGAGGGGUAGCAAGAUUGUAGCAAUACAAUUGUUUACGACCGGCAAACGGGUGCGGAACACGUACACAACCUUCCUAAAAGUGGGGAAUAGCACAGAGAAAUUUGGAUUAAUACACCGUAACAUAGCGAUGUGGCAUCACAUUGCUAUUUUAGCUUCGGCGCUUGUUGAUGGGUGUGCGGCUGAUUAGAUAGUUGGCGGGGUAACGGCCCACCAAGGCUACGAUGCGGUAGCUGAUGUGAGAGCAUGAUCAGCCACACGGGCACUGAGACACGGGCCCGACUCCUACGGGAGGCAGCAGUAAGGAAUAUUGGACAAUGGACGCAAGUCUGAUCCAGCCAUGCCGCGUGAAGGAUUAAGGUCCUCUGGAUUGUAAACUUCUUUUAUAAGGGACGAAAAAAGGUCUUUCUAGAUCGUCUGACGGUACCUUAUGAAUAAGCACCGGCUAACUCCGUGCCAGCCGCCGCCGUAAUAC